rnacentral:rRNA from 1 species
CGGCCGGACAAGUCCGUUGGGAAAUCCACGCGCCUAACGCGUGGGCGUCCAGCGGAAACUGUCCGGCUUGGGGCCGGAAGACUCGAGGGGUACGUCCGGGGUAGGAGUGAAAUCCCGUAAUCCUGGACGGACCGCCGGUGGCGAAAGCGCCUCGAGAGGACGGACCCGACGGUGAGGGACGAAAGCUAGGGUCUCGAACCGGAUUAGAUACCCGGGUAGUCCUAGCCGUAAACGAUGCUCGCUAGGUGUGGCGCAGGCUACGAGCCUGCGCUGUGCCGUAGGGAAGCCGUGAAGCGAGCCGCCUGGGAA